GUCUCUGUGGCACAAUGGGUCGGUGCGUCUGGCUGUUAACCAGAAGGUUGGUGAUUUGAGCCCGCUCAGGGAUG